AUUGUCUGUACAGAACCUUUUCCGAAAGAUUGUGUUCCAAGAAUAAUAGCUCUUUUAUGAUCUUGAAGAGCGCCUGCAACAAUUUCUGAAGCGGAAGCAGACCCGUUGUUAAUCAAUACAAUUAAUUUUGAACCUUCGGUGAGGUCCCCUGAUUUUGCAUGAACGCGUGAUGUAUUCUCUGGUUCGCGCCCUCGGGUAGAUACAAUUUCCCCUUGGUUGAGAAAUAUAUCACUUACAGAGAUCGCUUGAUUGAGAAGUCCGCCUGGAUUAUUUC
rnacentral:ncRNA from 1 species